ensembl:lncRNA
CUACUAUACAGGAGUUUCUUUAUUCUACAAAUAUUUAUUAGCAUUGCCUGCUCAUAUAGCACUGUGUGUGGUUCUAGGAAGGGGAAAAAAAGAGUAUACAGCCAUCAAGAAGCUUCAGAUACAUCUGGAGAAAGGAGCAAGGUCACAGACAGCCCGUUUCUAUUGUCAAAGAAAUGGAUCCUUGCUACAGAAGUGUGGAUUUGCCGACAGCUUGUGACAGAUGCAGAGUCUCAGGCCCCACCCCAGAUCUGCUGGAUAAGCACCUGUGUUUUAACUGAAUCCCCAGGGGAUUCCAAGGACAGUAAAAUUUGAAACCCAUUGAUCUAGACGGUUGAGUUGUAGGAGUUUGGGGGAGAGAGAGAUUAGCAUGCAGCUUGGUGGUCAAAAAAUAUUGAUUCAGGAGUCUGUCUCUCAAGAAUCACUAGGUUUUGGGGGCUGGCCUGGUAGGGUAUUGUUUAAGUUCUUGUGCUUCGCUUUGGCAGCCUGGGGUUCUCAGGUUUGGAUCCUUGGCGCAGACCUACACUCAGUUCAUCAAGCCAUGCUGUGGCUGCGUCCCACAUACAAAACAGAGGAAGAUUGGCACAUAUAUUAGCUCAGGGACAAGCUUCCUCAAGCAAAAAGAGGAAGAUUGGCAACAGAUGUUACCUCAGGGCGAAUCUUCCUCACCAAAAAAAAAAAAGAGGAAAAGAAAAGGGUGACUACGUUUUGGCUGCGUACAGAGGGCUCAAGGAAUAGUAAUUUCCCACCUCCACCGAGUUUAAAAAAAAAAAGGGAAUCACGUCUGCAAACUGCAGAAGGCAGUAAAAUUUUGCAAACACAUUUUCCAAAACAGCAAAAGCUUUGAGGCAGGUAGGAUGAGUCUGCAAAUCCUUGCUGCUGAAGGUGUCAGGAUCCUCAAAUGGCAACUUACCCAGUUUGGACAGCUUCAAGGUCAGAUGGCCUGGUGUCCUGGAACGGACUGGCCCACACAAGAUUCAUGGCCUUGCCCGACCUGUCUGUCAGUUAAACAGAUAACCAAUGAGAAACUGGCUCAUUAUUUGCCAGCAUUACUCAGCCAAUUGGCAGCUCCCAGCAAAUUGAGUCCUGGAGUGGCAUCAUAUGAACAUCACUUGGAUGGCUGCUUUAUCAAGCCAGCCCGGGAGAGCAGAUAAAUCACUGUGAAGUUGCGAUUAGAAGCUGUUUGCACCGUGACUAGUGCUUAGCAUUGGAUCAGCCUGAGUGGGUGCCUCAAUUUUUCUCACACUCGCCCUUCCUACAUUCAGUUGAAGAAUUAAGAUUUUUGUUCCAAAUAUAAAAACUGAAACAAAUGAAUAAACAGAUCAAAACGUGAUUGUCUUUACUGUUAUCUCCUGUUUCUACCUACUGGCCCAAAAUAUCUAUGUUUAUCCAAUAAUUUAAUCAGAAAAAGAUGAUACAGAACUUCACAACAUCACUGCUUAAAAUUCAGGCCUGGGCUCCAUAGAGAUAAAACCUGCCCAUCAUUUCAGAAGUCAUGCCAAGGAGAAUCUGUUCUAAUGAAGGGACUGAGCCUAUUGUGCCGCGUUUUUGAAAUGAUCACAUGAAAGGGUGAGAAAUCUGGAAGCCAUACAGAUUGAUGUAUACACAGACCAUUUUGACAUAGACUCAGCCUAGAAAGAAGCCAUGAAUUCAAAAUGCAGCAAGCCAAUGCAUUCUUUCCUCUCAGUGCUGGCCAAACAGAGGGCGAAGUACUAGACGGAAGAUUCUAGGAGAGAAAGACAAGUAAAGCAUGAACGAGCCAAGGUGCGGAGGAUGCUCAUUAAUCCUCAGGCUCCAGCAACGGCGAUACAGCCUGAAGAGCCAGAUUAACCUGAAGAUCCAACCUUAGACCAUUUGGUAUGAUGCUCAUUCUUAAUCCCGAAUCACUUCCUGGGCCUAAGCCCAGGUACUGGUGUGGCCAGGAAAAUUCCAGAAGCCAUAUGGACUCCCCAGGCCACCUCCUGGAUGAGGUUGGAUGGCGCACACCUAGGAACCAACUCACUCCAAGAGACAGAACAGAUGGCAUUCCAGAUAUGAAUAUGUAUAAUGUAGACUGCUAAGGUUGUUAAAUAAGUAAGUAUUUUUAGGUGGAUUCAUGAAAAUCAAGAAUUUUAUAGCUGAAAUGAACACCAAGCAAAGGAAACCACAAGACACUGUUCAAAGCUGUGCAUUAUUCUAUAUUUGUUGGCAUUGGCUUCCAUAGCAUGUUCCAGCCUUCACAGAAACCACUGGAAAACAACCAGGAAGAAAUAAGCGAAAAGCGCAACAAAGGAUGUUGUCUUCAGAAUUCCAUACUGCGAGACCCUAGAAAGGCCAUUGAUAGCAGAACCAGCGUUCGUCAGAACAAGAAGUGGGCUGAAUUCCUCUCUGACUUUACUACCUCUUUCCAUGGCCCUUUCCUGAUAAUUCCACCCUGACUAGCCCACCCCCAAGUCAAACUAGUUAUGCUUCAUUCUGGCUGCCCAGGAACAAGACCUAAGGGUUACAACAAUCAUGCAAGUCACCGAAUCAGUGGAAUUGGAUAAGAAGAUGGACUUUUAAAAAUCCUCAAUACAAACAGUACCAUCAGAAGACUUUGAGCUCUUUGCCCAGUAAUACUACUGCCUUGCACAUGCAGUGAGUCCCCGUUUACGGAACCUUCCAUAUUCAUGAUCUCAUUUGACUUGAUCUUUAUAACAACCCUCUGAGAUAAAUAGAGCAUGAAUUAUUGAGGGGUAAUAACCCUCAUUUUACACAUGAAUUGAGGAGUAAUAACCCUCAUUUUACGCAUGAAGAAAUGGAGGUCCAGAGAGGUUAAAUGACCACUUAAGGAUGCACAGAUGAUAAGCAGUGCCACUUCGACUUGAACCCAAGACUCUUUGAUUCAAUGUCUAGCAAUGCAUCUAAUUUGGCAUUUGCCAAUGAGUCAACAGUCAAAAGGGCCUUCACUGGAGAACAAUUCCCACUGCUGCUAGAGCAGCCUAAUCCAUGGAUUAACCGAUUCCAAUGAGUUAGAAUUAGGGGGUGGAAUAAAGUGAUAUUCCCAUAUUCUGGAAACACUCCAAAUACAGAAAAUGGAUUCUAAUUUACGUGUUAUUGAUACCAGUGCUUCACCUCUCCCUGUAUCCAUGACAUUUUGCAAUUCCACCCACUAGAGGCAGAAUGCAUGCCCCUCCCUCAUUGAUGAUGGAAGUGGCAGUAUGAUUUGCCUCACCCAAUGAAAUGUUAGCAAGCAUGGUGCAACAGAGACUUGAAAUGAAUUUGCUUGGUUGGAUUUGCCCUCUUGUGCUCCAAUUAUCUGCCUAAGUUAGCUCACUAAACCAAAGACAUGAGUACACAUAUAGACCCAAUCUGCAGCUUUAAGCCAAGCCCAUCUGAAUCUAACCUAGAUCAUCCAACCUCCACCCAACCAGUAACAGAUAAGCAAGAAAAAAGAGAUUAUUUGAAAUUAUUGAAUUUCGAGCUGAUUUGCUAUAUAGCAAUAGCUGACUGAUGCUCCACCUUUCUUCCCUCUUCCCACCUCCAAUUCAAUGCCAAUAGGGUCUGCCCUUUGUUAUCAUUACUUUCUGUUUCUUUCCAGGCAGUGAAUCACUACCUCUUCUUAAGUCCUAGAUUCGCAGGGGUUUCAAUAUCAAGAUCUGUAUCAUCACAGGAUUAUGAGAAGCUAUUAAUAAGGACCCAAAUGGUAGUAAAAAUAAGGUAACUGAAGUUACACCCACAAAAGAGAACACCAUAGGUGCCAGAUAAGUAGCCAAUGAAUGAUUGAAAACUUUGUGCAUUUGAAGGUAUUUUAUCAUUGUGAUGGGGCUCAGGGCAGGGUAUCUGAAAAUACGCCACUUGGCAUAUUGAUUAUUUUGAAUAAAAGUUACUUAAGAAACAGCCUCUGACCUUCCUUCGUCCCCUGAAAUCAAUCUCCCAUGUGAAAUGGACCCUCCCUGCACCAGAAGGUAGGAAGGCAUCCUCAUCACUAGACAUAGGGUAUUCAGGACUGAGAAGCCUGUGUAAACAAACUCUGCUUAGUUUCUUCACGAAUUAGCACCCAAGCCUAAGUUUCUUUGUCUUGUCAGUCCUUCACAAAUUUAGUGUUUCUUUGUCUAAAAGAUAUAAAAGCUGCCUGUCCUUGGUCACUUCUUUGUGCCUCAUAAUCUUAUGGAGCCCCC